rnacentral:rRNA from 1 species
GACGAACGCUGGCGGCGUGCUUAACACAUGCAAGUCGAACGGUAAGGCUCCAGCUUGCUGGGGUACACGAGUGGCGAACGGGUGAGUAACACGUGGGUGACCUGCCCUGCACUUCGGGAUAAGCCUGGGAAACUGGGUCUAAUACCGGAUAGGACCGCACCGUGAGGGUGUGGUGGAAAGUUUUUUCGGUGUGGGAUGGGCCCGCGGCCUAUCAGCUUGUUGGUGGGGUAAUGGCCUACCAAGGCGGCGACGGGUAGCCGGCCUGAGAGGGUGGACGGCCACAUUGGGACUGAGACACGGCCCAGACUCCUACGGGAGGCAGCAGUGGGGAAUAUUGCACAAUGGGCGGAAGCCUGGUGCAGCGACGCCGCGUGGGGGAUGACGGCCUUCGGGUUGUAAACUCCUUUCACCAUCGACGAAGGGUUUCUGACGGUAGAUGGAGAAGAAGCACCGGCUAACUACGUGCCAGCAGCCGCGGUAAUACGUAGGGUGCGAGCGUUGUCCGGAAUUACUGGGCGUAAAGAGCUCGUAGGUGGUUUGUCGCGUCGUCUGUGAAAUUCCGGGGCUUAACUCCGGGCGUGCAGGCGAUACGGGCAUAACUUGAGUACUGUAGGGGAGACUGGAAUUCCUGGUGUAGCGGUGAAAUGCGCAGAUAUCAGGAGGAACACCGGCGGCGAAGGCGGGUCUCUGGGCAGUAACUGACGCUGAGGAGCGAAAGCAUGGGGAGCGAACAGGAUUAGAUACCCUGGUAGUCCAUGCCGUAAACGGUGGGCGCUAGGUGUGGGUUUCCUUCCACGGGAUCCGUGCCGUAGCUAACGCAUUAAGCGCCCCGCCUGGGGAGUACGGCCGCAAGGCUAAAACUCAAAGGAAUUGACGGGGGCCCGCACAAGCGGCGGAGCAUGUGGAUUAAUUCGAUGCAACGCGAAGAACCUUACCUGGGCUUGACAUAUACAGGAUCGCGCCAGAGAUGGUGUUUCCCUUGUGGCUUGUAUACAGGUGGUGCAUGGUUGUCGUCAGCUCGUGUCGUGAGAUGUUGGGUUAAGUCCCGCAACGAGCGCAACCCUUGUCUUAUGUUGCCAGCACGUUGUGGUGGGGACUCGUAAGAAACUGCCGGGGUUAACUCGGAGGAAGGUGGGGAUGACGUCAAAUCAUCAUGCCCCUUAUGUCCAGGGCUUCACACAUGCUACAAUGGUCGGUACAGUGGGUUGCCAGUCCGUGAGGGCGAGCUAAUCCCGCAAAGCCGGUCUCAGUUCGGAUCGGGGUCUGCAACUCGACCCCGUGAAGUCGGAGUCGCUAGUAAUCGCAGAUCAGCAACGCUGCGGUGAAUACGUUCCCGGGCCU